AAUAAGUGCAGCCGUGGAUAUCUGUGCCCAACGUUUGACCGUCCGUCUUAUUUAAAAAAUUUGUGAAAAAUUUAAAGAUAUUUAGUCACACAUAGAGUACUAUUCAUGUUUUAUCAUCUAAUAGCAAUAAAAAUUUUUCAAAUAAGGCAAACGGUCAAACAUUGAACAUGAAUAGUGUAAAACUGUAUUUAUU
rnacentral:pre_miRNA from 1 species